rnacentral:rRNA from 1 species
GAGCUUGGCGGUGUUUUAGACCUCUCAGGGGAACCUGUCUCAUAAUCGAUAAUCCACGUUAAACCUAACCUUUGAUAGCAAUUCAGCCUGUAUACCGUUGUCGUCAGGUAACUUUUUAAAAUAUAGUAGUUAGCUUGAGAAUUUUGUUAAUUAAAACGUCAAAUCAAGGUGCAGCUAAUGAAAAGGUGAAGAUGGGUUACAAUUACAUAUUUGUAAAUACGGAUAAACAUUUGAAAGAAUGUUUUGAAGGAGGACUUGAAAGUAAUUUUAAUUAUAUAAACAAAAUGAAUGAGGCUCUGAAACGUGCACACAUCGCCCGUCGCUCUCGUUGAAAAAUGAGAUAAGUCGUAACAUAGUAGGGGUAAUGGAAAUUGUUCCUAGGC